rnacentral:rRNA from 1 species
AUUGAACGCUGGCGGCAUGCCUUACACAUGCAAGUCGAACGGCAGCACGGGGCGACCUGGUGGCGAGUGGCGAACGGGUGAGUAAUGCAUCGGAACGUACCUUUCAGUGGGGGAUAACGUAGCGAAAGUUACGCUAAUACCGCAUAUUCUGUGAGCAGGAAAGCAGGGGAUCGCAAGACCUUGCGCUGAUUGAGCGGCCGAUGUCAGAUUAGCUAGUUGGUGAGGUAAAGGCUCACCAAGGCGACGAUCUGUAGCGGGUCUGAGAGGAUGAUCCGCCACACUGGAACUGAGACACGGUCCAGACUCCUACGGGAGGCAGCAGUGGGGAAUUUUGGACAAUGGGGGCAACCCUGAUCCAGCCAUGCCGCGUGAGUGAAGAAGGCCUUCGGGUUGUAAAGCUCUUUCGGCCGGGAAGAAAUCGCACGGGCUAAUACCCUGUGCGGAUGACGGUACCGGAAUAAGAAGCACCGGCUAACUACGUGCCAGCAGCCGCGGUAACAC